GAGCUCUCUUCAGCAUAUAUGCUAAAAUUGGAAUGACAAAGAGAUUAUCAUGACUUCUGCAUAAGGUAUGACUCUCAAAUUCAUGAAGCAUUCCAUUGUUUU